rnacentral:rRNA from 1 species
GCGCUUAAGUUUGAUUCUUCGGAUGAAGACUUUUGCGACUGAGUGGCGGACGGGUGAGUAACGCGUGGGUAACCUGCCUCAUACAGGGGGAUAACAGUUAGAAAUGACUGCUAAUACCGCAUAAGACCACAGCACCGCAUGGUGCAGGGGUAAAAACUCCGGUGGUAUGAGAUGGACCCGCGUCUGAUUAGCUGGUUGGUGGGGUAACGGCCUACCAAGGCGACGAUCAGUAGCCGACCUGAGAGGGUGACCGGCCACAUUGGGACUGAGACACGGCCCAAACUCCUACGGGAGGCAGCAGUGGGGAAUAUUGCACAAUGGGGGAAACCCUGAUGCAGCGACGCCGCGUGAAGGAUGAAGUAUUUCGGUAUGUAAACUUCUAUCAGCAGGGAAGAAAAUGACGGUACCUGACUAAGAAGCCCCGGCUAACUACGUGCCAGCAGCCGCGGUAAUACGUAGGGGGCAAGCGUUAUCCGGAUUUACUGGGUGUAAAGGGAGCG